GUGGGGAAUAUUGGGCAAUGGGGGAAACCCUGACCCAGCGACGCCGCGUGAGGGAAGACGGCCUUCGGGUUGUAAACCUCUUUUGUACGGGAAGAAGGAAGUGACGGUACUGUACGAAUAAGUCCCGGCUAACUACGUGCCAGCAGCCGCGGUAAUACGUAGGGGACGAGCGUUGUCCGGAAUUACUGGGCGUAAAGGGCGCGCAGGCUGUGCUGCAAGUCAGCUGUGAAAUGUCGGGGCUUAACCCGGGCAUGCGGUUGAGACUGCAGUGCUGGAGUGCUGGAGAGGCAAGUGGAAUUCCCAGUGUAGCGGUGAAAUGCGUAGAUAUUGGGAAGAACACCGGUGGCGAAGGCGACUUGCUGGGCAGCAACUGACGCUGAGGCGCGAAAGCCAGGGGAGCAAACGGGAUUAGAAACCCUUGUAGUCC
rnacentral:rRNA from 1 species